ensembl:lincRNA Gm31466 predicted gene, 31466
GCACGAAGCAAAUGUCAACUGACUCACGGCAGGGACGGUUGGACAUGAAAGAGUGCGCAGUGAUCCCAUCAGCAAACCUUUGUGCCUAAAAUUAUUCAUUCCAGGGGGAAGGAGUGCGUAUGAGAGCACAAGCUGUUUAGGGACCCUCGGCAGAACUGAUGAGUACAGACAGUCAUGACUACCUGUCAUCCAACAGGUAUUUACCAAGUACCCAGAAUAUGCCAGGCACUGUUCUGGGUGCUGCUACCUACGUCUACGGCCUAUCAGGAGUCCGAUUUUCAGGCAACGGGCAGCUUUCCACUACAGCAUGCCCAUGCCUCACACCCUGCUCUGUGCACGCUAGGUGCUCACAAGUCACUAUGUUAAAGACUUCUCAGGACGCAUGCCCUCCAUACUGGAGUAGGCAAGACCUGCAGAUUGUCUUUCAUGGAAACUGGUGACCAGCAGGAGGCGCUGUGGAUUCACGUGGCAGGCUGGGAAGUUGGAGACUAUAGUUGGUUGUGCUGUACUCCUGGCAUCCACAGGGCUGGAGACAGCAAUGCUGGCCAGGCUGGGCAGUGGAAAGUGCUGGUCACCCAGGAGACGGAGCUGUAUGAGCUUUCAGUCAAGGAACACAGCCAUUAACCCUGAUGUGUUCAAGUGAGAAGGACAAGAAACUUAAGAAGUCUGUGAGACUGGAAGGAAGAAGUUGAAUGAGAAGCAGAGAGCAGGAGACCAGGAGUAGAGGAUGAAGCGAAGGAGGAAGAAAGAGCGUUUGCUGAAGGGGAGCACAGGUCUGAUCAUCUGGCCCAGGCCUGUGGUUCCUAACGCAUGGGUCUACGUUCACUCUGGUGCAGCACCACAGUUGUGGGAGGGAAUCAGGCCAGAAGAAGCAGUGUGCACAACUUGUUGUUACCUGGCAGACACCUCCAUGAGCUAU